rnacentral:pre_miRNA from 1 species
UCCCUGAGACCCUAACUUGUGAGAAUUACCCAGCAUUCACAGGUUAGUGGCUUAGGAAUU